rnacentral:rRNA from 1 species
UGGGCGUAUAGCGAGCGCAGGCGGUCUUUUAAGUCUAAUGUGAAAGCCUUCGGCUCAACCGAAGAAGUACAUUGGAAACUGGGAGACUUGCAUGCAGAAGAGGACAGUGGAACUCCAUGUGUAGCGGUGAAAUGCGUAGAUAUAUGGAAGAACACCAGUGGCGAAGGCGGCUGUCUGGUCUGCAACUGACGCUGAGGCUCGAAAGCGUGGGUAGCGAACAGGAUUAGAUACCCUGGUAGUCCAUGCGGUAAACGAUGAUUACUAGUUGGUGGAGGGUUUCAGCCCUGCAGUGCUGCAGCUAACGCAUUAAGUAAUCCGCCUGGGGAGUACGACCGCAAGGUUGAAACUCAGGAGAAUUGACCGGAGCCCGCAGAUCAGAUACCGUCGUAGGUUUAAUUCGAAGCUACGCGAAGAACCUUACCAGGUCUUGACAUCUUCUGACAGUCUAAGAGAUUAGAGGUUCCCUUCGGGGACAGAAUGACAGGUGGUGCAUGGUUGUCGUCAGCUCGUGUCGUGAGAUGUUGGGUUAAGU